UACGGAGGGUGCUAGCGUUGUUCGGAAUCACUGGGCGUAAAGGGCUCGUAGGCGGUUUGUCGCGUCGGGAGUGAAAACUCAGGGCUUAACCCUGAGCCUGCUUCCGAUACGGGCAGACUAGAGGUAUGCAGGGGAGAACGGAAUUCCUGGUGUAGCGGUGAAAUGCGCAGAUAUCAGGAGGAACACCGGUGGCGAAGGCGGUUCUCUGGGCAUUACCUGACGCUGAGGAGCGAAAGUGUGGGGAGCGAACAGG
rnacentral:rRNA from 1 species